UACGAGGGUGCAAGCGUUGCUCGGAAUUAUUGGGCGUAAAGGGUAGGUAGGUGGUCUCGUUUGUCAGGGGUGAAAGCCUUGGGCUCAACCCAAGAAGUGCCCCUGAAACGGCGAGACUCGAGUUCUGGAGAGGGUCGUGGAAUUCCCGGUGUAGCGGUGAAAUGCGUAGAGAUCGGGAGGAACACCAGAGGCGAAGGCGGCGACCUGGACAGAUACUGACACUCAACUACGAAAGCGUGGGGAGCGAACAGG
rnacentral:rRNA from 1 species